CAGUAGCCGCGGUAAAACGGAGGGUGCAAGCGUUAAUCGGAAUUACUGGGCGUAAAGCGCACGCAGGCGGUCUGACAAGUCAGAUGUGAAAUCCCUGAGCUUAACUUAGGAAUUGCAUUCGAUACUGGGAAGCUAGAGUAUGGGAGAGGAUGGUAGAAUUCCAGGUGUAGCGGUGAAAUGCGUAGAGAUCUGGAGGAAUACCGAUGGCGAAGGCAGCCAUCUGGCCUAAUACUGACGCUGAGGUACGAAAGCAUGGGGAGCAAACAGGAUUAGAUACCCCAGUAGUCCCUGUCUCUUAUAC
rnacentral:rRNA from 1 species